rnacentral:rRNA from 1 species
GAUGAACGCUGACAGAAUGCUUAACACAUGCAAGUCGAUGGGGAAGUGGUGCUUGCACCAUGGCAACCAUGGCGGACGGGUGAGUAACGCGUAAGGGACUUACCUGCAGGACUGGGAUAACAGGGGGAGACUCCUGACAAGACCGGAUAAUGUCAUGGAGCUGCAUGGCUUUAUGAUGAAAGGAGACGCCUGCGGAGAGCCUUGCGUCCUAUUAGCUAGUUGGUGAGGUAAUGGCUCACCAAGGCGAAGAUAGGUAGCCGGCCUGAGAGGGUGGACGGCCACAAGGGGACUGAGAUACGGCCCUUACUCCUACGGGAGGCAGCAGUGGGGAAUAUUGGACAAUGGGGGCAACCCUGAUCCAGCAAUUCUGUGUGCACGAAGAAGGUUUUCGGAUUGUAAAGUGCUUUCAGCAGGGAAGAAGUAAGUGACGGUACCUGCAGAAGAAGCGACGGCUAAAUACGUG